GUCCACACCGUAAACGAUGAUUACUAGGUGUUGGAGGAUUGACCCUUCAGUGCCGCAGUUAACACAAUAAGUAAUCCACCUGGGAGUACGACCGCAAGGUUGAAACUCAAAGGAAUUGACGGGCCCGCACAAGCAGUGGAGUAUGUGGUUUAAUUCGACGCAACGCGAAGAACCUUACCUGGUCUUGACAUAGUAAGAACUUUUCCAGAGAUGGAUUGGUGCCUUCGGGAGCUUACAUACAGGUGCUGCAUGGCUGUCGU
rnacentral:rRNA from 1 species